rnacentral:lncRNA from 1 species
AUUGGAUUGAAAUUUAUAAUGUUUAGGAAUAUUUUAAUUGAUUUGCAUUUUACUUUAAUUUGGUUCUAUAUUGAGACUCUUAUUGUUUUGGGUAUUGGUUACUUGAAUUGUAUUCCUAGUUUAGGUUAGGUUUCCUAGUCAUAUUAAGAUAAGUUGUAGUUAAUAUAAUUAAGUAUCUUGUUUAGAUUUUACAAGCUGACUUUUUUUUAUUAUUAUUUCUUUGGGAAAAACUCUGUUGUAUUCUUGUUAUUUCUAUCUCAGGAGUAUUCAAAGGUAUCCUCUAUCCAUCACUAUACAUCUUUUAUCCUUUUCUGCAUUAGUUUCAGUUUGGUAUUUUUAUUCACUUUGUCUGCAGUACUGUUGUUUCUGCUGAAGCAAAAGGGAAAAAAAAAAAAAAAAAAACUUUUUGGUCAAUAAAGUUGACCAAUACACUUAAACUGCUUCUCCAAGAAGCAGUUGAUUACUUAAAAGCAACUUUUACGAAAGCAUAUGCACCUUAGUAUAUUUCUUCUUUAUGCAUUCAAACUUGAAUGAUACAAGAAAGUGUUACUUCCAUUGAAGGGUUGGAACCUUAAACAUUAAGUCAUCCGUACUGUGAAAGGAUAUUUUUGUCUUAAAACCACCAUUUGACAAUGCAGGGUUCCUAUUUCCAAAAUAAACUCUCCUUUUGCCUAAUAUUGUUGUGAGCUUUUGUCCACCAUAAAGUAAAUUUACUAGUUGCUGUUCUCAAUUAUACAACUUCUGUGCCAGUUGAUAACUUUGGUUGU